rnacentral:rRNA from 1 species
CGAACGCUGGCGGCGUGCUUAACACAUGCAAGUCGAACGAGAAAGCGGGCUUCGGCCCGUGAGUAAAGUGGCAGACGGGUGAGUAACACGUGGGUAACCUGCCCGGAGGUGGGGGAUAACCCUUCGAAAGGAGGGCUAAUACCGCAUGAUAUCUCGGACUUCUCGGAGACCGAGAUCAAAGCUAGCCUCUGUUUCAUGCUAGCGCCACCGGAGGGGCCCGCGCCCCAUUAGCUUGUUGGUGAGGUAACGGCUCACCAAGGCUACGAUGGGUAGCCGGCCUGAGAGGGUGAUCGGCCACACUGGAACUGAGACACGGUCCAGACUCCUACGGGAGGCAGCAGUGAGGAAUUUUGCGCAAUGGGCGAAAGCCUGACGCAGCGACGCCGCGUGGAGGACGAAGGUCUUCGGAUCGUAAACUCCUGUCAAGCGGGACGAAUUUUACGAGGAUGAAUAAGCCUCGUAGUUGACGGUACCGCUGGAGGAAGCCCCGGCUAACUCC